CAGAGCCCGGAGCCUGCUUCGGAUUCUGUGUCUCCCUCUCUCUCUGCCCCUCCCCUGCUCACGCUCUGUCUCUGUCUCAAAAAUAAAUGAAAACAUUUUAAAAAAUUAAAUGGACAGUGCGUAGGACUGAAUCAGAGAGGCUGAGAUGAUGUCCACAUGGUUGUGGGGAAUAACUUACAGGUGCAGGGGUCUGGGAUUUUAGCUGAGAACAAAGCAGGAGAUGCCGUUGAGCCACACUGCUCGCUUCACCGCAGGUACUUUCAAAGUACUUUUCUGUAGUGGGUUGUUGUUGUUUUUUCUUUUUUUUUUUUUUUUUUUUUUUGAGUCGUGUUCUGUAUCUUUUACUUUUUUCCUCGUGGCAGUCCGGUAGAAUUUUCAUAUUAGCGGAGUGUGGCCCAAAGAAUGUUAGAAGGAUCUCUGGGAACGGAAGACUGGCUCUGCAUUUACAAAGAGGGGUGGCCUCCGCUGAGCCCUCCCCCUUCACACCUUCUUCAUCGUUCACUCCAACAAACCCAAGCGCACACGGUUUAUGAGACCGUGCCGCUGGCCUGGCCAGAAACCUGUGUACCUACAAUGUCCAAGGCCUCGAUGUGGAGUCGCUGGCAGGUGUCCUGUCCCCAGCCCUGAUCCCACUUUGGCACCUGGGCUCACCUUGUAGAUACUGUUUGUGACACACCUCCUGCAUUUUCUUCCUGCGGCUGCUCCUUCCUACAUGGGAGAGCGAUCAGGUAUCUCGACAGACACAGCACUUUCCUUAUGAGUCUUUUCUUACUAGUUUUAUUAGCCUUUUGCCCCACACAACCUUCUUAUUCUUCCUCAACUAAGCAUCCCCUCAUUCCCGUGUUCGUUCAACAGCUAUCUGGAUGGCAUCGACUGCUCUCGGCCCAUGGGGAAACAAGAGACAAUUCCCACCCAGGAGGAUUUUGUGUUCCAAAGGGGGGGGGGGGCAAAAAAUAAACAAGAAAGCAUAAAUGAAUAUGUUAAAUUGUAACAUGAUGACAAAUGUUUAUUUGUUAUAACGUGACAUGUUUAUUUUCCACCAUGAUAAAUAUUCUAGGGAAAAAAUAAGGCAAGAUAAAAGAAUGGGGGCAGUGGUAGGGUUUUGAUUACAAUCAUCAAGACGGGACUCUGGGGCAGAGGCUUAAAAAAGGUGAAAACAAAAGGGCUGGGGAAAAGUGUUCCAAGACAGAAGGAACCCCCGGGGCAAAGGCCCCAAGGCGGGUGCAAGAGAGUCAAAUUCUGGGCGUUCCAACUCGGAGGCCUGCAGCUCAGGCAUGUCUCGGUUCCAGCUCAGACCCAGACCGGACUCUCUUCCAGAAUGACUGAUUUGUUGGCCUUUCUGUCUCCCCGCAUGAGCCCUGCAGACUCUUCCCCUCUGCACACUGCCCCCCGCCCCCACCGGGGCAUCGGAGGGGUCAUGAGGGAAGACUGCAGCCUGGAGGCUGACAGGACUUGCCUCCUCCUCUGUCGCAUCACCUGGGGUGACCCUUCGCCUUGGGAAUGGCUGUUGGGACGGGUUCCCAGGUUCGACCCUGCUCCCCGGCCUCGUGCUUCACUCGUGUUGCCUGGUUUCCCAGCCAUGCCUCCCUUGCCUCCCCAGAUGCCCAUCGCCCAGGAAACCAACCCCCUGCACAAAUUCCUCUUCGUUAGGAUAACUGGUGUUGCUUCUUAUUCCUGGCUGGAGCUUGACUGAUAAAGGGGCCAGAGAGAACUUUCCUGAAGUCACCAACCACGUUUUAUUUGGCUCUGAUUGCAAGCACUCAGCACAAUCCCAGCAGGUGACAGUGCCCAAACAAGGAAUCUUCCAUCCCUGGAAGGCAGGAAAUAUACCCCAAAAAGAGGACUCCGGUGCCUACUAUGUGUUCAGUUAAUGAACAAGUAAAUGAACUGAUCGAGUAAGACCAACUCAGAACGGACAGAGGCGUAGAGACCUUCACCUGCUGCCUUGUUCACCUGCCGCCUUCACCUGUCACCUUCACCACCUGCUGCCUUCACUUGCCGCCGUUGCCUACUGCUCGCUUGACAGUAGGUGAGCCUUUGGGCCAGGUCACUUGUGAUGCAAAUAAACUCUAAUUGGACCCCAA